rnacentral:rRNA from 1 species
UGGGGAAUAUUGCACAAUGGGCGCAAGCCUGAUGCAGCAACGCCGCGUGAGUGAUGAAGGCUUUCGGGUCGUAAAACUCUGUCCUAAGGGAAGAAAACAAUGACGGUACCUUAGGAGGAAGCCCCGGCUAACUACGUGCCAGCAGCCGCGGUAAUACGUAGGGGGCAAGCGUUAUCCGGAAUUAUUGGGCGUAAAGAGUGCGUAGGUGGUUCUACAAGCCUUGGGUGAAAGGCUACGGCUCAACCGUAGUAAGCCUUGGGAACUGUAGGACUUGAGUGCAGGAGAGGAGAGCGGAAUUCCUAGUGUAGCGGUGAAAUGCGUAGAUAUUAGGAGGAACACCAGUGGCGAAGGCGGCUCUCUGGACUGUAACUGACGCUGAGGCACGAAAGCGUGGGGAGCGAACAGGAUUAGAUACCCCCGUAGUCC